rnacentral:rRNA from 1 species
AUUGAACGCUGGCGGCAUGCUUUACACAUGCAAGUCGAACGGCAGCGCGGGCUUCGGCCUGGCGGCGAGUGGCGAACGGGUGAGUAAUACAUCGGAACGUGCCCAGUAGUGGGGGAUAGCUCGGCGAAAGCCGGAUUAAUACCGCAUACGACCUGAGGGUGAAAGCGGGGGAUCUUCGGACCUCGCGCUAUUGGAGCGGCCGAUGGCAGAUUAGCUAGUUGGUGGGGUAAAGGCCUACCAAGGCGACGAUCUGUAGCUGGUCUGAGAGGACGACCAGCCACACUGGGACUGAGACACGGCCCAGACUCCUACGGGAGGCCGCAGUGGGGAAUUUUGGACAAUGGGCGAAAGCCUGAUCCAGCAAUGCCGCGUGUGGGAUGAAGGCCUUCGGGUUGUAAAGCACUUUUGGCGGGAACGAAAAGGACUGUGCCAAUACCACGGUUCGAUGACGGUACCCGCAGAAUAAGCACCGGCUAACUACGUG